UGUCUAAUACUGGAUAUUACCUUGCCUGGCAUCGGGUGGGGUGGAAAGUUUUUCGGUUGGGGAUGGACUCGCGGCCUAUCAGCUUGUUGGUGAGGUAAUGGCUUACCAAGGCGACGACGGGUAGCCGGCCUGAGAGGGUGACCGGCCACACUGGGACUGAGACACGGCCCAGACUCCUACGGGAGGCAGCAGUGGGGAAUAUUGCACAAUGGGCGCAAGCCUGAUGCAGCAACGCCGCGUGGGGGAUGACGGCCUUCGGGUUGUAAACCUCUUUUAGUAGGGAAGAAGGGCUUCGGCUUGACGGUACCUGCAGAAAAAGCACCGGCUAACUACGUGCCAGCAGCCGCGGUAAUACGUAGGGUGCAAGCGUUGUCCGGAAUUAUUGGGCGUAAAGAGCUCGUAGGCGGUUUGUCGCGUCUGCUGUGAAAUCCUGAGGCUUAACUUCGGGCUUGCAGUGGGUACGGGCAGACUAGAGUGCGGUAGGGGAGAAUGGAAUUCCUGGUGUAGCGGUGGAAUGCGCAGAUAUCAGGAGGAACACCGAUGGCGAAGGCAGUUCUCUGGGCCGUAACUGACGCUGAGGAGCGAAAGCGUGGGGAGCGAACAGGAUUAGAUACCCUGGUAGUCCACGCCGUAAACGUUGGGCGCUAGAUGUGGGGACCUUUCCACGGUUUCCGUGUCGCAGCUAACGCAUUAAGCGCCCCGCCUGGGGAGUACGGCCGCAAGGCUAAAACUCAAAGGAAUUGACGGGGGCCCGCACAAGCGGCGGAGCAUGCGGAUUAAUUCGAUGCAACGCGAAGAACCUUACCAAGGCUUGACAUAUACCGGAAACUUCCAGAGAUGGUUGCCCCGUAAGGUCGGUAUACAGGUGGUGCAUGGUUGUCGUCAGCUCGUGUCGUGAGAUGUUGGGUUAAGUCCCGCAACGAGCGCAACCCUCGUUCUAUGUUGCCAGCACGUAAUGGUGGGAACUCAUGGGAGACUGCCGGGGUCAACUCGGAGGAAGGUGGGGAUGACGUCA
rnacentral:rRNA from 1 species